rnacentral:rRNA from 1 species
UACGGAGGGUGCGAGCGUUGUCCGGAAUCACUGGGCGUAAAGGGCGCGUAGGCGGCCUGGUAAGUAGGGGGUGAAAUCCUGCGGCUUAACCGCAGGGCUGCCUUCUAAACUGUCAGGCUCGAGCACGGUAGAGGCAGAUGGAAUUCCCGGUGUAGCGGUGGAAUGCGUAGAGAUCGGGAAGAACAUCAGUGGCGAAGGCGGUCUGCUGGGCCGUUGCUGACGCUGAGACACGAAGGCCAGGGGAGCAAACGGG